ensembl:lincRNA C530043A13Rik RIKEN cDNA C530043A13 gene
GAGGAAACGGAGAGUUCUACAGGAAUAGAGAGACCCUGGGCCCUUCUUGAGCUUUUUGAAACCCUAAGCCCACCCCCAGGGACACACUUCCUCUGAUAAGGCCACACCCACCCUAAGAAGGCCACACCUCCUCCUAGUGCUACUCCCUGGUACCCAAGCCUUCAAAUCUCUGAACCUAUAGGGACUAUUGCUAUUCAAACCACCACAUUAGGGGAGAUUAAAAUACCUGCAUGAAAGUUUUAUGAGGUGGUGAAGAUCAAAAGUGGAAGUAAUUCACUGGAUGUUCUCUGCAGGCAAGCAAUCUUUCAAACAAACAAACAAACAAAGAAACAAACAAACAAAACCAAAAACAUUCCUUACAGGAAGAUGAUCAUCUUAGACCAAGAAUGGAUGAACAAGGGUAAUUGUGAGAAGAAAAAUGAAAUAUGGGACAGAAAAUCCCAGGUCAAGUUGGAGGUCAGUUUUCAGGAACCAGGAUUUGGCCUGAAUUGUUGUUUUCAAAUCCUUAUCUGUUGACUCUUGAGGAAGGAAGGCAAAGAGACUCAAUAGAAGGCUCAGCAUUGUAUCUCAAGAAAGGUUUAUUUUGUCCAAAAAGAUACUUGGGAAUUGAACAUGAAUACGGGACACAGUCCAUGUUCAUAAAGGCCAUCAGCCCUCCAGAAGAGAGGAUGGAUCUGGAGAGAAGAGAUGGGAUUCCAUGAAGAGGAUCCAGUAGUUGGCUGGACCACACAACCCUGUUUCAGGAGGCAGUGGGAAGUUCGUUUGUGUCUUCAAGAUGUUGAAGGGGCUUGAGUUCUUUCUUUCUUUCUUUCUUUCUUUCUUUCUUUCUUUCUUUCUUUCUUUCUUUCUUUCUUUCUUUCUUUCCUUCCUUCCUUCCUUCCUUCCUUCCUUCCUUCCUUCCUUCCUUCCUUCCUUCCUCCCUCCCUCCCUCCCUUCCUCUCCCUCCCUCUCCCUUAUUUUUUCAUCUAUAGCCUUAAUCCAGGGAGUUGCACAAUAUGCUCUUCAGUUUCCUUUCUUCCUUUAUUUUCAGUCAGCAGCAGAAGCUCUUGAGAGAAGCACUGUCUAAAUAUAAGAGUACAAUUAAGAGAAAUGCAUUCCUUUUCCUUAGGAAAACUUCCGUGAUGCACGGACACUUCUUACUCAGCAAGUUUAAUUGUUGCCUCUUUAAGGAAGAUUCAUUUCCCCAGAGCUGAGGCAGAGGGAUGAUGCUAGGGGUCUGAUAAGCCUCUAAGAGUGAGAGAUAUGGCAUUUUUGUGGACAGAGAGACCUUACAGGACCAGCACUUCUCUUUCCCAAGAGGGUUGUGCUCUUCUGCAGUUUUAGAACAUAGUCCCCCUGUGAUUGCCUGGGACCUUCCUCCCAGGUGGGAGCUCACUUAAUCUGAUCUAACCUAAACUAUAGCUAUCAGGGUGUGAGGAACACCAUCUUCUAAAAAAAAAUUAUUUCUUAUUAUAACCACUUUUACUCUACAAAUUAAUGUGAUUCAUUAUAUUCAUUAAUAAAUGUUUCUUUAAUAAUG